UUCGACUUGAGCGCCAGCGAGAGAGCGUUGCCGCAGGCAACGACCCGAAGGGCGAAGCGCGCAGCGCUGAGUAAUCCUUCUCCCACCACCA
rnacentral:sRNA from 1 species